UACGAAGGGGCUAGCGUUGCUCGGAAUCACUGGGCGUAAAGCGCACGUAGGCGGACUCUUAAGUCGGUGGUGAAUCCUGGAGCUCAACUCCAGAACUGCCUUCGAUACUGGGAGUCUUGAGUCCGGGAGAGGUGAGUGGAACUGCGAGUGUAGAGGUGAAAUUCGUAGAUAUUCGCAAGAACACCAGUGGCGAAGGCGGCUCACUGGCCGGUACUGACGCUGAGGUGC
rnacentral:rRNA from 1 species